rnacentral:lncRNA from 1 species
GAAAAUAAAAUAAAAUAAACAGUCUAAAAUAAAUAGUAAUAUUAUACCAACAUUCUUGAAAUACUGAAAAUCUUUCUCAGUGGUGACAUCUCUCUUAUAAUUAUCCUAAAUAUAAGAAUAUAUACAAGUCAAAUUGCAUAAAGAGGAUUAGUUACGACUAUCGUUGCAAAGAAAAAAGAAUACCAAUGUAGUAAUAAAAGUUGUUGAAUAGUAGUAAAAUAUGAACGAUAUAGAAUUGUUUCUAUGGUUGAACAGUUAAAAGGCUGAGUGAGCGCGAAAAAAAAGAAGAGAAAAUCGUGAUGCAAAAAGAAUUAGAAAUUUCCAAAUCGAAAUCGAUAGAGAUUCCAUUAUCGUGACUGAGAUGUAGUUUCAUGUUACAUUUUACGGAAGCUGUGCUUCGAAAUAUGCAACGUAUCAUGUAGUCAUGUCGAUCGAUCUCGAUGAUCCGGAAAUUACAGCUAAUUGAAAAGUUGCAAGCCACGCAUAACAUGGUUCACAAGAUUGCAAUUUUUCGUGAAUUCAUUCACUUUUUAAAUAGUAUUAUAUAUUAAAAUAAAAAUUUAUAUAAUAAUAAAAUUUUAAUAGUAAUAAUAAUUAUACAAUUUUGAUUUUUUUCAUUUCAUUCUAAAUAUCAUUCUGUUAAGGAUACUUGGAUGGAUGGAUUUUGGUCUUGAUAUUUGGAUCAUAUAAUUUUAAAGAGAAUCUUGAAUGAUGAAUUGAUUCGAUCUAGAUUCGUAUCGAUACAUAUCGGCUGAGCGGAAAUCGAAGCCUAUCGAGAAGGCAAGUGCGGACAGGGAAGGAGUAGUAAUCAGUGGACUUCCUGUAUCUAAAGUCUUGACUUCGUCGUCUCGUCAGCAUUUCUCCAAAGCAGUUCCGGCCGAUUGAACAGCCGCUCAAAUAUUCUCAAGAUGCAUGUGUAGUUCGUUCAAUCGGACGUUUAGAAAGCGAACGUAUAGCAGUUUUAUUUUUUCAUCUGCCUGAGAAUUGGAAAAAAACAAAAUCAAAAAUGCUCUCUUCUCAUUUAAACAAUAUUGGAAAUUUAAUAUAUGCUAUCUUACGAUCCAAUUUUAUCUUUCUAUAUAUCGGUGGAUGAUAUAAUAUGAUGAAUGAAAAAUUCAAAGCAUUUACCAUAUCUCAAUAUGUUGCAAAUCAUUAUAUUACGCUAUAUAUCAAGAAUGAUAUAGAAAAUAGAAAAUUAAUAUCUGAAUAUUUUUGUGUUCAUAUAACUCGCAUUAAUGAUGAUUUUGUAUAGAAAAGUAUUUUAAUACAACUUGAACUCGAUAUAGAUAAUUAUCGAUAUAAAGAUCGAUAAAAUCUUUAUCUUCAUCGUUUCAAAAUUUUAAUGCGGAUGAAUUCGAGGUCAAAAUCGAACUGAUAGAACUGAAGAACAGGGGAAGGAAAAAAGAGUAUAUGAAAUCAAAACUUUUAUAUGUAUAUAUAUUUAUAAAUACUGUAAAUUAUAAUUGUAAAUUUAUUUUUUUUAAUUUCUCUAAUUAUUCAGGAGUGCCUUUUCUCCCGUUGUUGAGCUUUCAAGAGUCUCAAUUGUAAAUCCAGAAGUGAAAAAGAAUAAGUAUAAAAUCACGCCGACAGAUUAACGAGAUCGAUGAAAAAA